rnacentral:lncRNA from 1 species
CAUCACUGUAAAGCCAGCAAACGCAGUCAUGAUCUACUGACAAGCACUUCAGCUCUUUCCAUUCAGGAAUGCUACAAGGGCACAUUUUCAUGACUUUCUUCACAAUGCUUCUAAAGGCCUGAUGCUUCUUACAUCCCUGCGUCCCAAGGGCUACUCACUGAGCCCAUCAGAUGCUGCAACAUUUCCUUUGUUACUGCUGGCAACACCAGAACAUGCCUGUGCAUUGAAGUUAUUUUUGAUGUUUAAUAAGUAUUUAGUGCCUUCUUUGUGAAGAAAAACUUACUCAACACCUUUCUGGAAGCACAGUCAACUCUUUAUGCUGCUUUGGGCAAACAUCAACAGGAUUCUAUUAGCUUCAGGAAACUUCAGAGACAAUAUAACAAUAUCAGUUAUACUACGGAAGGAGCAAGCCUCAGCAGAGGAUUUAAGAAGCCCCAUUCUUAUUUUACUAGAGAAAUAAUCUUCAUAUGGAGGAACAAAGCACGACUGACAGAAAACACCAUUUGUUUCUUCUGGAUUCCUUCUUCAGAGGUCAAAAUCUUCAUGAUAACAAAGAAAUGUGCAGUGUUUACUCAGUAUGAAGAAGACAUUGCCCACCUGAGGCUUCCCUUAGAACUCAAUAUAAAGGAGUUGAGGUGUUAGAAGGUUCAUUGAUACUGUGUUAGUUUAUAAUAUAAGAAAUUAAAAUGUUGAAUUCUCAAGUUUAUAAAUGUUUUAGGAAAUCAUCUAUCAUGUGCAAGGUGGAAAAUUUUUUGACUCAGCAUGUGAGGGCAAUGGAUCACGGAUUGAAUUGGUGGUUUGGGACUGAUUACUCUGAGCAAUCCAUUUACAGAUUUGAAUGAAAUAAGUGAUUUGUGACUUUGUGACAUCAAUAAUGCAAUUCCCUAUAGCAAAAGUAAGUUAACAUAGAGACUACAAACUUAUUCUACAAUUUCUUUAUCAGAAAAUAUACAAUACAAAAUAUACAACUGUACAAUGGUAGAAAAAUGCUAACAAAUUGAAGUAACUGCUGUAUUUCAAAAGAAACUCCAAAAUAAUUAAGUGUUAUGAUAUCAUAUUAAAGUGAGGUUUCUUGCUCAAGAGAAGAUAACAUACAAGUCCUUUUAUAUUCCAGUCAACAAAUGCUGUGUUUUGGAGUGUGGCAAAACUCACUUGCUUGAGUUAUUAAUGAAUUAGAACAUCCUUGACAAUGGGAUUAAAAUGUGAAAAAGGUAGUGAUAAGAAAGAAGACAUGUUAAUUAAUGGUGUCUUCCUCAGAAUAUAUUGCUUUUCUCCAUCAGCAUUAUAAAUAAUUGAGUAACUUCUUGAGGCAAUCAUCCAGAGACUGUUUGUAACAGAAGUAACUUUAAAAAAAAUCUGAAUAAAUGGCUAUUGUAAGUGGAGUGGGAGUGUUCA